rnacentral:rRNA from 1 species
UACGUAGGGUGCGAGCGUUGUCCGGAAUUAUUGGGCGUAAAGAGCUCGUAGGCGGCUUGUCGCGUCGGAUGUGAAAGCCCGGGGCUUAACUCCGGGUCUGCAUUCGAUACGGGCAGGCUAGAGUUCGGUAGGGGAGAUCGGAAUUCCUGGUGUAGCGGUGAAAUGCGCAGAUAUCAGGAGGAACACCGGUGGCGAAGGCGGAUCUCUGGGCCGAUACUGGCGCUGAGGUGCGAAAGCGUGGGGAGCAAACAGG